CGUUUAUAUGAAUGCAGGCAGAGAGAGCAGAGAGAGCAGAGCAGAGUGGAGGGAGAGUAGAGUAGAGGAGAGGAGAGAGACAGCCCCACACUGCCGCGUCACGUCCAGGUCCUGUACACACUGCUGCCUCUAAAACACGGUGAUGCUGCUUCUGGUUGGGUGAAACCACAGGUUUGAUCCUCAUCGCUGAUAGUAGCAGGGAGCCUGAAAGGGCAGUCAGAUGACUCCAGCUCCAACGUCCUUCGCAUCUAUCCAUGCAGCCCAGGUCCUGGGCUAGAUCUGCCCUGCCCUCCUCUCACUGUCCUGCUACAGCUAUAGGAAAAACUCACAGUUUAUACAGCAUGUAGCUAAGCCAGAGUAUGGGUCUGCCUUUGUGCUAGCUGGGCGACUGAAGCGUUCGUUCUGGAGCCACUGAGCAGGAAGCGGCAACUUUUAUUAAGCAUGGCAGAGGGCUGUAGGGAGAGCGGAGAGAUGCUGGGUGCUACAUCACACACCAGCUCUGUGCUCGAUGCUACAGCCAGAGGAAACGCUCAGCUGCAUUGCUGGUAGCAGCAUAGAGCGAGAGGUACUCUGCUGUACAGCAAACGCCGUAUGCAGCACCACACCAGCUAGAUCCCGAUGCAUUGACGUUGACCAAAAGGAAAAAUUUCUUUUGCAUGAAACGAGACUAUCUGUAGCCCCCACAGAAACAACAUGCACCUUGAAUGCAUAACGCUGCACCAUCUGUUUCAUGCGUGUGCACACACACACUCUGUCUGUGCAGCAGCAUAUUACACCAAAGCCUCUCGUCUGUGCUUACGCAGCCACCGUGGUUAGGUAAUGCAGAACCCGAGAAAGGAUGGCAGUGACUACUGUCCUAUUUUGCACCACAGCAGUCACAGGACAGAUGUUCAUCGAUGCUUUUUCUCACAAUCGCAGCGAGCGUGCAAAGUGAAAGCAAGGCUGAGGGGGAAAAAGAGAGUCCUGCUAUCAGCAGGGGCUCUCGGUGUACCUAUAUAGAGGCUGCUGAUUGAUGCAAAAGCAGCAGAUGCGUCAGCACUGCAGACGAGGGGGAGGGGAGGAAGCUGAACCCGACGUGGCACUGUGAGCCUCUCGCUAGCCUCUGAGGACGGAAGCAGCUCUUUAAUUUGCACAACUGAGUGUAGUCAUAUGACGGUGUGGGUCUUCUCCUCGUGCUGGCUGUGAGACUGCUUUUGAACCAGUUUGAACGCCUUGUUGACUUCAAAAGACAAAGUAGCAGGUGCCAUAUCAUUAUGCAUGUACUCACUCAGUGCCUUGAAGGAAGGAAACGUGCUAUUCAUGGAGCAUUUGUGGUUUAGCCUCUUAAAUUACACUCAGUGAUCACCCUCAAUCUACGCUGCUAUAUUGUCUUGUUCCCUUUUCGGAGUUCGAUCAUGUUGGUUUCAUAAAUACACAAUUAACCACA